UACGUAGGGUGCAAGCGUUAAUCGGAAUUACUGGGCGUAAAGCGUGCGCAGGCGGUUUUGUAAGUCUGUCGUGAAAGCCCCGGGCUCAACCUGGGAAUUGCGAUGGAGACUGCAAGGCUUGAAUCUGGCAGAGGGGGGUAGAAUUCCACGUGUAGCAGUGAAAUGCGUAGAGAUGUGGAGGAACACCGAUGGCGAAGGCAGCCCCCUGGGUCAAGAUUGACGCUCAUGCACGAAAGCGCGGGGAGCAAACAGG
rnacentral:rRNA from 1 species